CCUACGGGUGGCAGCAGUGGGGAAUAUUGGGCAAUGGGCGCAAGCCUGACCCAGCAACGCCGCGUGAAGGAAGAAGGCUUUCGGGUGGUAAACUUCUGUUCUCAGGGACGAAGAAAGUGACGGUACCUGAGGAAUAAGCCACGGCUAACUACGGGCCAGCAGCCGCGGGAAUACGUAGGGGGCAAGCGUUAACCGGAUUUAGUGGGUGUAAAGGGGGUGUCGGCGGGAGCGCAAGUCAGAUGGGAAAACUCAGGGCUCAACCCUGAGCCUGCAUUUGAAACUGUGUUUCUUGAGUGCUGGAGAGGCAAUCGGAAUUCCGUGUGUAGCCGUGAAAUGCGUAGAUAUACGGAGGAACACCAGUGGCGAAGGCGGCUUGCUGGACAGUAACUGACGCUGAGGCGCGAAAGCGUGGGGAGCAAACAGGAUUAGAUACCCGUGUAGUC
rnacentral:rRNA from 1 species